rnacentral:rRNA from 1 species
CCUACGGGGGGCUGCAGUGAGGAAUAUUGGUCAAUGGACGAGAGUCUGAACCAGCCAAGUAGCGUGAAGGAUGACUGCCCUAUGGGUUGUAAACUUCUUUUAUAUGGGAAUAAAAUGUUCCACGUGUGGGAUUUUGUAUGUACCAUAUGAAUAAGGAUCGGCUAACUCGGUGCCAGCAGCCGCGGUAAUACGGAGGAUCCGGGCGUUAUCCGGAUUUAUUGGGUUUAAAGGGAGCGAAGGUGGAUUGUUAAGUAAGUUGUGAAAGUUUGCGGCUCAACCGGAAAAGUGCAGUUGAAACUGGCAGUCUUGAAUACAGUAGAGGUGGGAGGAAUUCGUGGUGUAGCGGUGAAAUGCUUAGAUAUCACGAAGAACUCCGAUUGCGAAGGCAGUUCACUAGACUGCAACUGACACUGAGGCUCGAAAGUGUGGGUAUCAAACAGGAUUAGAUACCCGGGUAGUC